rnacentral:rRNA from 1 species
AUUGAACGCUGGCGGAAUGCCUUACACAUGCAAGUCGAACGGCAGCACGGACUUCGGUCUGGUGGCGAGUGGCGAACGGGUGAGUAAUAUAUCGGAACGUGCCCAGUCGUGGGGGAUAACGUAGUGAAAAUUACGCUAAUACCGCAUACGAUCUAUGGAUGAAAGCGGGGGACCUUUGGGCCUCGCGCGAUUGAAGCGGCCGAUAUCAGAUUAGGUAGUUGGUGGGGUAAAGGCUCACCAAGCCAACGAUCUGUAGCUGGUCUGAGAGGACGACCAGCCACACUGGGACUGAGACACGGCCCAGACUCCUACGGGAGGCAGCAGUGGGGAAUUUUGGACAAUGGACGCAAGUCUGAUCCAGCCAUUCCGCGUGCAGGACGAAGGCCUUCGGGUUGUAAACUGCUUUUGUACAGAACGAAAAGGUUUCUACUAAUACUAGGAGCUCAUGACGGUACUGUAAGAAUAAGCACCGGCUAACUACGUGCCAGCCGCCGCAGUAA